UUUCCUUCCUCCUAUUUGGAGAGAAUAGACAGAGAAGAAAAAGAUCGUAGCUUUGGUGUAUUCUUUGGGCUGAGCUGAGAGGGAAGUAACGGUGAAAAGAUUUAUCUGUAACUCCAAUGGUUCAAUUGCUGUAAUCUCGUGUAAUAAGCAAGAAACAAGAAAAAGUUAUCUUCAUUUUUGUUCGUGUAAACACUUUGAAAAAUUCCAGCCGUUGUCCAUAGAGACAGAGAGAGAGAGAAGAGAGAAGGUUUCUGUAGUUGCAAAGAAUGAAGAAUCAACCAACAUGAAUUGAAGUGCAAACCCACCCCCAGAUUCUCUGAGAAUUUCCAUUUUGCCCUUCCAAGUUCCAAUUCUAGCCUCAACUUGUUCCCUCUCUUGUUCUAUUUUUUUUUCUUUUUUCUUUUUUAAUAAUAAUUUAUGAACAUGUAAAUUUUUAUGGCUUGGUGAAUCCUGAAUUUUUCUAUUAACUGUGAAGGAUUGAUAUGCUUUAAUCUUUAUUGCGUUGAAAGUGUCGUGAAUUCAAGCCCUUUCUUUUUCUUUUCUUUUUAAUUAGAUACCAAUUUAGUGGAUGAAUCUAAACUUUGAAAGCGAAGUCUUUGAUACCAAUUUGUGUUUUUUUCUAUUUGGUUUUUGAUGCAAGAAAAGAGAAUGAAUAUUUUUUAUACUUUCUAUUUUAUGUUAUGGGAUUAUUCGUUUUCAUAUUGGAAUUGAUGCUGUUGUCGGAGCAAUUUGGAUGGUUGAAUCUAGUGAAUAUAUCAUCAAAUAUCAAAUCUUUUGUAAUGGCAGAACUUGGUGGUUUGAUCAUAAUGCAGUCUGGUGAAGCCCCUGCUUCAAUGGAUGUAGAAGAAAUCCCAAAUGGAUUGGGGACAAAAUCUGCGUCUUUGCCAUCUAAGCCAAAGUUUGAGCCUUUGAAGGCUCAUGAGAUGUCUGACGGUCGAGUUCAGUUCAGAAAGGUUUCAGUUCCACCACACAGGUAUUCGCCACUCAAGAAGGCAUGGAUGGAAAUCUACACUCCAAUAUAUGAGCAGAUGAAGAUUGAUAUCCGUAUGAAUCUCAAAGCUAGAAAGAUUGAAUUAAAAACCCGACCAGAUACACCCGACAUCAGCAACCUACAGAAGUGUGCAGAUUUUGCACAUGCUUUCAUGUUAGGUUUUGAUGUUAUAGAUGCUAUUGCUCUUUUGCGAUUGGAUGAGCUAUAUGUGGAAUCUUUUGAAAUCAAAGAUGUUAAGACUGUCAGAGGUGAGCAUUUAUCUCGAGCCAUUGGGAGAUUGUCAGGUAAAGGUGGAAAAACAAAGUUUGCCAUUGAGAAUGCCACAAAAACAAGGAUUGUGAUUGCUGAUACCAAGAUUCACAUAUUAGGAUCUUUUCAAAACAUUAAAAUUGCAAGGGAUUCUCUCUGUAGCCUUAUUUUAGGGUCCCCUGCUGGUAAGGUAUACUCAAAGCUUAGACAAGUUACUGCUAGACUAGCAGAGAGGUUUUAAUUUUUUUUUUUUUAUUCAUGUUAUUUUGAGACUAUUUAGCUCCAUACUGAGAUCUGUUAUGCUGAGUGGGAAUUUGUGAUUGUAACUGGGCGUGAAUUUUCUGUAUAAGAGGCCUUGUUGUAAGCUGCAAAAAUGAUUCAUUAUAAAGGAUAUGAAUAUCAUUCAUUUUUAUGGGUUAUUUAUUGAUAGUUGAUAAUGGAUUUAACUUC
rnacentral:misc_RNA from 1 species